rnacentral:rRNA from 1 species
GAUGAACGCUGGCGGCGUGCCUAAUACAUGCAAGUCGAACGAAACUUCUUUAUCACCGAGUGCUUGCACUCACCGAUAAAGAGUUGAGUGGCGAACGGGUGAGUAACACGUGGGCAACCUGCCCAAAAGAGGGGGAUAACACUUGGAAACAGGUGCUAAUACCGCAUAACCAUAGUUACCGCAUGGUAACUAUGUAAAAGGUGGCUAUACUACCGCUUUUGGAUGGGCCCGCGGCGCAUUAGCUAGUUGGUAGGGUAAAGGCUUACCAAGGCAAUGAUGCGUAGCCGAAGUGAGAGGGUGAGCGGCCACAUUGGGACUGAGACACGGCCCAAACUCCUACGGGAGGCAGCAGUAGGGAAUCUUCCACAAUGGGCGAAAGCCUGAUGGAGCAACGCCGCGUGGGUGAAGAAGGUCUUCGGAUCGUAAAACCCUGUUGUUAGAGAAGAAAGUGCGUGAGAGUAACUGUUCACGUUUCGACGGUAUCUAACCAGAAAGCCACGGCUAACUACGUG